GCGCUGCUCGCGCGCCUCUUCCGCGCAGGCAGGGCUGAGCGCGCGAGGGUCGGCCCCAGGGUCCUCCCGGCGCGCGGCGGAGGGAACGCGGCAGCGCUGGUGCCCCGGCAACUGCGCGUGAUGGCGUGUGCGCGGCGAGAAUGCCUUUUUUGGGACGAGGGGCCGUGGUGCCAAUGAGGCCCCCGCAGGAGCGCAGUCCGCGACCCGAAACGCUCGCGAACCGAAGAAGGAGAGCCUUUUCGACACAGUCGGUGCGCACACGUGUCACGGUGACAGGUACAUCUCGUGGGUUCAUAACUGCCUUAUUGCGGAAACCAGCAGGAGAUGGACCAGGUUGUUCGCUGUUCCUGGCUCCAUGAGCUUGUGCUCUUCUGAGCCAGAGAAGAGUACAGCAUGGUGGUCAUCCUUGGGGCAUGGAAGAUCCCAGGAACAGUCUACAAGGGGCUGUUGUGGACCUAGGGCUUGGAACCUGCUGAACCAUACACCCCUGCCCCUGAGCCCUGAAGGCCCAUCUAGGAGGAAGAGGGAGGAUGGGGAGAUGAGAUGCUCCCUUUUCUUUUUUUUUAGCUGCUGUGGGGACUGUCUUAGCUACAAUGGAAUUUUUUUCUUAGGCUUUUUUUUUUUCCUCCUUUACUGAGCUACUAUGGGCACUGUUUUCAGUCCUUUGGGUUUGAGUUACCAAAGGCCCUGGUGAAAAUUGCAAUUAUGUUGCUGGGAAAGGACACCACAUAGACUGACUAACUCCUGUUCACUUAGCUUAGUAUGAGUCCCUGCCUUUUAAGAUCAACACAGGACCUUCUGAUGUAUUAUUUCAUUUUAAUGUCUCUGAGUGAUAAGCACAAGGGAGUUUAUUAUUCCUGCUUUGCUGAUGGGGAAAACCUAGGCCUGGACAAGUAAAGUGACACAGCUAGUCAGUGACACUGGAAUUUGCUCUUGGAUCUCUCUGACUCCAAGCGCUAACUGCACCCAGAAGGAAUAUAUGAAUACAGUUUGAAGGGUUCUAGGAAGUUCUCUCUCAAAUCUCUUGCUGCCUUAAAUUCUGCCAUUGACACAUCAUUACUUUGAGCUGUUGCUGUCUUAAGGCUUCACUGUGAUUUUUGUACGCUCUGAAAGAGGGUUCAAAAAGAAUUGCCCAGUCCAAGUACAAAGUCAGCCAGUUCUCUGUGGCUCUGUGAGUUUCUCUGUGUGGGGUUACAGGGUGGGAGAAGUGAGACAGCCCUUCCAAAUCCUUGCUGCACCGGAGUCCAGACAUUGCUCACCCCGUAGGUUACUCUGACAGCAGCUGUGGAGCAGGGGAAUAACUCCAAUGGCUUUGAGCCGAGAAGGGUUGUCGUGAUGUCCCAGGAAUGAGCCUCAGUUUCCUCAUCUCUAAAAUGGAAGUAAUGAUUUCCCUGCUUGCUCUACAGGGUAGUGAGGCCCAAUGAGAAAUCCCACUGUAAAGUGCUGUACGGCACAAGGUAGGAAUAUUGUCUGGUCAGACACCCAUUUGAGCCCCAGGCAGCUAAGUGCCUCCCUUACCUGGUGAGCGAGGCGUUUGUGCAUCAGGAACAGACCUACAAAAUAGGAGCGCCAGGAUGAACCAUCACAUUGUAUUAAUAUUUUCACACCACUUAACUCUCAUUAAAAUGUACUUUGCUGAAUUUAAUAUGUGAUUUCAAAUGACACAACAUAUUAAGUGCUUAAUAUACUAGAAAUUAUGAAACUUACAGUUGAUGCCAUAUGAAAUAAUUAGACUGAAUUAAACUUUAGCAGCCAAGUGAAGGAAAGACUUCAGCUUAUCACAUCUUAAAGUAGCUUAAUCCACCAUUGUAAUCCCCAAAAUAAAUGUCCAGGAAUUAGGAUCUGUAAGUAAAAAUGGAAACUUAAUCUGUACUUACACCCAGCUCUUCUAGGCUUUGGUAAUGUGGAGUGUUGUUGCCUUUGGGAGGUGAGAGGCCCUGGCACCCACCCCCAGAGCAGGCUGCCAGGGUUACGGCUUCAGCAGCCUCUUGCCGGGGGCCUGGCUGGAAGAUGAUUCAUGUGGCUGGAGUAAGGAGUAAGGCCUUCUGCUGAAGCGACAGGUUGGUCUUGGACCCCACUUAGCUUGUUGACAGGUUAAAAAUAAAAACAAACACCCUUUAACAUUUAUUGAGUGCUUCCUUUUUGCCAGCAUUUUACACGUGUUUUCUCAUGGAAUCCUCACAAUACACCCAUGUGAUAAGCCACCAUUUUCAGAUGAGGAAACUGAGGCUCAGAAAGAGUAAGUGAAUCAUAUAAGGCUUUACAGUCAGAAUCCGCAGUGUUUGCUCCUACAUCCCACACAGCCUCCUCCUUGUUGUGUGGGUGUGGGCGGGUGUGGGCGUGUACACCACUCCCAUUUUAAUAAUGGUUCCAUGACGAAACACUUUAACCUGCUAUCUGACAGUGACCCAUAUGUUUAUCACAUUCCAAUCAUGGACAAUAGGGAUCAAGACUUGAGAGCCUCACUUUGAACAGGAUGCAGGCUGGCUGACUCGCACAGGAAGUUCUCUGUGAAUACUAGCUGCUAAUUCCAUUCAAAAAGAAUGAAUUCAUUAUAUCCAGAGUAUCCUGAUAUUUACCUACAUGUAGCUGUCAUAAGACAACUUCUUAGAGAGUAAGGAAUACUUCCUGUCAUAAGGGGGUAUCUAAUUUUAUAGCUAUUUAAGACACAGUAUCUCAGUUACUCAUAUCAGCAUGAAAAUACUUACCCAAUGUGCUAUUUGAAAAAUAGAAAUUUGAGUUUGGGUAUUUAAAUAUGUUAGAAUUUACUGAUCAGCAAAAAUGAUUUUAAUGGAAACAGGGAGACAACUCCAGCAAACGGAUGUUUAUAAUUAACUGAAAACACGUGUUUUCUGUAAGUAUCAGGAUUAGGUUGUGCCUCGUAUAAUAGAAAACCAAAUAACAGUGGCUUUAAGAUGACAGAAGUUGAUUUCUCUCAUGCAUGAAACAAGUUGUCUUUCAAAGUCUGGUCUGGUGGCUCCACUUUGUCACAGAGCCAGGCAAGAUCUUUUAUCUUUUUAGUCAACAACUCAUGGUCCAAGGUGGCUGCAGGAGCUCCAAGUUCCAGCUGUCAGGAAGGUGGCAGAGGUAAAGGGUGCAUGUUUCUUCCCUGGAGAAAAUCUGUAAAUAGGAAAGAGGAAGAGAAUGGCAAUGAAUGGGCAAAUAGCAGUCAUUGGCAUAUGACCUGCAGGUAGCAGUCAGUAAUUGUUACUUUCAGCCCGUGCUUUUCCUCUCUGCAGAGCAUCAGGAAGGGGAAGGAAGUUAAUAGUCACUAACCACAUACAGGGUUCCAGAGAACACGCUGGACGUUGCACAUGAUCUUCAAUUAUGUGCUGUGGGGGUGACAUAGUAGCAGGUCAGGCAGGAGGAGAUGCUGUGACUUGGGGUGAGACUCUAUCCACGUGGAGGAAGGAAGUUGAAGAGGGAGAGUUGGAAUGUUUGCAUAAGAAGCCCAGGGGCUUCUGGGAAGAGAGAGAUUAAACCUCUAACACUUGUCCUCUGGGAUGAAAGUUGUUUAAAAAAUUUCAGGGUGAAUCAGAUUGUACUGACCAAGGUCAAAUGGCAGGAAAGUUAAUACUAUGCCCUUAAAAUAAAUGAUAAUAAAAUAAAAUUGCCAUGAGUGCAGAAAGUGAAGAGAUUCGAAGAUUAAAAAGAUAAUAGGAAAACUGGCAAAAGACUUGAACAGGCACUUCACAGAAUGGCAGCUACAGGUGGUCAGUGUGAAAAUAUGCUCAACCCCAUCAGUCAUCAAGAAAAUACAAAAUAAACUACCUCACAAUUAACCUUGGCAGGUCUGAUAAUACCAAGUGCUGGUGAGGAGUAGAGCAAUGGAGAUGUGAGACUGUACAUCUUCUUAACUGGGUUAAGAAGAAGUUGGUUAGAAGAUGUAUUGACAUGAAAAGAUAUUCACAGUUUAAAGUGAAAAAAGGUUUUAUCUUAUUUCUGGAAAAUAUAUAUAAAAUAGUGUUUUUUUGAUAAUAGAAAAAUAUCUGAAAUAUAAGUGGCUUUUUAUG